rnacentral:rRNA from 1 species
GACAGAGGUGACAAGCGUUGUUCGGAAUUACUGGUCGUAAAGAGUCUGUAGGUGCUUUGCCAAGUCUUUGGUGAAAGGCCGUAGCUUAACUAUGGGAAUGCCAAAGAGACUGGCACGGCUGUAGGCUGUUAGAGGAAAGCGGAAUUUCUGGUGUAGCGGUGAAAUGCGUAGAUAUCAUAAGGAAGGCCGGAGGCGAAUGCGGCUUCCUGCAACAUCCCUGACACUGACAGACGAAAGCGUGGAGAGCAAACAGGAUUACAUACCCUGGUAGUCCACGCCCUAAACGAUGGGAACUAAGUGUGGAGGGAUUAAACCCUCCGUGCCGCAGCAAACGCAGUAUGUACCCCGCCUGGGGAGAACUGCCGCAAGGUUGAUACUCAAAGGAAUUGACGGGGGCCCGCACAAGCGGUGGUGCAUGUGGUUUAAUUGGACGCAACGCGAGGAACCUUACCUAGGCUUGACACGUGGUCAGUAGCGAACCGAAAGGGGAGCGACCCGUCAAAUCGGGCAAUCACACAGCUGCUGCAUGGCUGUCGUCAGCUCGUGCCGUGAGGUGUUGGGUUCACUACCGCAACGAGCGCAACCCUCGCCCUUGAUUACCAUCGGGUAAAGCCGGGCACUCUAAGGGGACUGCCAGCGACAAGUUGGAGGAAGGAGAGGAUGACGUCAAGUCAUCAUGGCCCUUAUGCCUAGGGCCACACACGUGCAACAAUGGCCGGUACAGACGGAGGCAAUGCCGAGAGGCGGAGCAAACCCGAGAAAACCGGUCCCAGUUCGGAUUGAGGUCUGCAACUCGACCUCAUGAAAUCGGAAUCGGUAGUAAUCGCAUAUCCAGAACGAUGCGGAGAAUACGUUCCCGGGCCU